rnacentral:rRNA from 1 species
AUAACACCUGGAAACAGAUGCUAAUACCGGAUAACAACAGAUGAUGCCUAUCAACUGUUUAAAGAUGGUUCUGCUAUCACUCUUGGAUGGACCUGCGGUGCAUUAGCUAGUUGGUAGGGUAACGGCCUACCAAGGCGAUGAUGCAUAGCCGAGUUGAGAGACUGAUCGGCCACAUUGGGACUGAGACACGGCCCAAACUCCUACGGGAGGCAGCAGGU